rnacentral:rRNA from 1 species
GAUGAACGCUAGCGGGAGGCCUAACACAUGCAAGUCGAGGGGCAGCAUUGUAGCUUGCUACAGAUGGCGACCGGCGCACGGGUGAGUAACGCGUAUGCAACCUGCCUUAUACUGAGGGAUAGCCCAUGGAAACGUGGAUUAAUACCUCAUGGUUCCUGUGAGUCGCAUGGCUCUAAGGAUAAAGAAUUUCGGUGUAAGAUGGGCAUGCGUGACAUUAGGUAGUUGGUGAGGUAACGGCUCACCAAGCCGACGAUGUCUA